rnacentral:rRNA from 1 species
AUUGAACGCUGGCGGCAUGCUUUACACAUGCAAGUCGAACGGCAGCGCGGGCUUCGGCCUGGCGGCGAGUGGCGAACGGGUGAGUAAUGCAUCGGAACGUGCCCAGUAGUUGGGGAUAGCCCGGCGAAAGCCGGAUUAAUACCGCAUACGACCUGAGGGUGAAAGCGGGGGACCGAAAGUCCUCGCGCUAUUGGAGCGGCCGAUGUCGGAUUUGCUAGUUGGUGGGGUAAAGGCUUACCAAGGCGACGAUCCGUAGAUGGGCUUAGGGGACGACCCGCCAAACUGGGACAGGGAAAAGGGCCCAAGCUCCAAGGGGGGGCGGAGGGGGGAAUUUUGGGAAAAGGGGGGAAACCCUAAACAAGCAAUGCCGGGGGGGGAAAAAGGGCCUUGGGGUGGAAAGCCGUUUUGUUGGGGAAAAAAAUCCGCAGGGCUAAAACCCCGGGGGAAGAAGGGAACCGAAAAAAAAAGCACCGGCAAACUAGGG